CAGCCGCCACGGGAAUACGAAGGGGGCUAGCGUUGUUCGGAUUUACUGGGCGUAAAGCGCACGUAGGCGGACUUUUAAGUCAGGGGUGAAAUCCCGGGGCUCAACCCCGGAACUGCCUUUGAUACUGGAAGUCUUGAGUAUGGUAGAGGUGAGUGGAAUUCCGAGUGUAGAGGUGAAAUUCGUAGAUAUUCGGAGGAACACCAGUGGCGAAGGCGGCUCACUGGACCAUUACUGACGCUGAGGUGCGAAAGCGUGGGGAGCAAACAGGAUUAGAGACCCGCGUAGUCCCUGUCUCUUAUAC
rnacentral:rRNA from 1 species